AGCAUAUCUAUCUUUUUUAAUCAUUGUUUUUAAAUGUUUACUGAAUAUUUAAAUGUUCAAAGGAUAGUUUUUAGAGUAUUCCUUGAAAUUUCAAUUAAAAGAAUCCAGUUAUUUUAAUGGGAUAUAGAUAAUGGUGAACAUUUUACCACCACCACAUUCUUCACCAAAAUAAAGUACCUUCGCAAACAGGAAAAAACAAAAUGGAAAUUUGGAUUUUUUUGAACAGAUUUAGCCUAUUAGAAUUUUUUUAAAACCUUUAUUUUAUUUAUUUACUUUUAUGUGGUGCUGAGGAUCGAACCCAGGGCUUCACAUGUGCUAGGCGAGUGUUCU
rnacentral:lncRNA from 1 species